rnacentral:rRNA from 1 species
GCACAAGCGGUGGAGUAUGUGGUUUAAUUCGAUGCAACGCGAAGAACCUUUACCUGGGUUGGAAACCCCUGGAAUCCUGCAGAGAUGUGGGAGUGCUCUUUUAGAGAAUCAGGUGUCCAGGUGCUGCAUGGUUGUCGUCAGCUCGUGUCGUGAGAUGUUGGGUUAAGUCCCGCAACGAGCGCAACCCCUGUUGUUAGUUGCCAGCGAUUCGGUCGGGCACUCUAACGAGACUGCCGGUGGUAAGCCGGAGGAAGUGGGAUGACGUCAAAUCCUCAUGGCCCUUAUGCCCAGGGCUACACACGUACUACAAUGGUCGGUACAAUGGGUAGCCAAGCCGCGAGGCGGAGCCAAUCCUGAAAGCAGGCCUCAGUUCAGAUUGCAGUCUGCAACUCGACUGCAUGAAGCCGGAGUUGCUAGUAACCGCAGGUCAGCAAUACUGCGGUGAAUACGUUCCCGGGUCUU